rnacentral:lncRNA from 1 species
UUCCCAAAAGACUAGAGAAGUAUCAAAGACAAGUUCUGCUCAUUAAUCAAAACUUUGGGGUACCAUGUAUAAAAGGUUCAGAUUGAAUAACGUUAUCAAACUCUAGGAAACUCACCUCUGAACAGGAGUGCACCCUCCACCCCUGACGCCAUGACCCACUGCUGCUCCCCUUGCUGCCAGCCUACGACGUGCUGCAGGACCACCUGCUGUGUGUCCAGCUGCUGCCAGUCUUGUUGCCACCCCCCCAGUUGCUGCAACACAUCCUGCUGCCAACCUAGCUGCUGUGCACCCGUCUACCAGAGAACGUGCUACCAUUCCAUGUGUGUCUGCCUGCCUAGUUGCCUAGACCAGAUAUGUGGAUCCAGCUGCUGCCAGCCCUGCUGCCUGCUGCCCAGCCUACUGUGAGGCCACCUGCUGCAGGACCACUUGCUGCCAGUACACCUGUGUGACAAGCUGCUGCCAGUCUUCCUGCUGCAGCACACCCUGCUGCCAGCCCACCUGCUGUGGGUCCAGCUGUUACGGCCAAACUGGCAGUGGGUCCAGCUGCUGCCAGCCCAGCUUCUGUGCACCCAUCUACUACAGGAGAACUUGCUACCACCCCAUGUGUGUCUGCCUGACAGGUUGCCUAAACCAGAGCUAUGGAUCCAGCUGCUGCUAGCCCUGCUGCCAAUCAGCCUGUUGUGUGUCUAGGGGCUGCCAGCCUUGCAGUUAUUGAUCAACUUACCACAGAUUACUACCUGCAUAGAAUAAACUUCCAUCAUCAGACCAGCCAGGUAUCCAUUUAUUCUUUUUUUUUUUUUUUUUUUUUUUGAGACCCAGUUUCGCUCUUGUUGCCCAGGCUGGAGUGCAAUGGCAUGAUCUUAGCUCACCGCAACCUCCACCUCCUGGGUUCCAGCCAUUCCCCUGCCUCAGCCUCCCGAGUAGCUGAGAUUACAGGCAUACGCCAUCAUGCCCAGCUAAUUUUGUAUUUUUCGUAGAGAUGGGGUUUCUCCAUGUUGGUCAGGCUGGUCUCAAACACCUGACCUCAGAUGAUCCACCCGCCUUGACCUCCCAAAGUGCUGGGAUUACAGGCAUGAGCCACCACGCCCAGGCCAGAUAUCCAUUUCUAUGGCAAACUCACUCCACUUCCUCUGCUGAUAACAUACAUACUGUCACUAAACUGUCAGUCAUCUUCUUGUUAACAAAUUAUGAACUUGCUUAAUGAGUGUAGCCUUUUUCACUCCGAUAGUCUCUUCAUUGAGCCAGCUGCUGGUCAGCUUCAUCUGUUCUUGACCUGGAUUUAUGAUCUGAGCGUUGACAAAAUUAUCUUUGUUUUUUUACUCUAGGAAAAUUUCUAAAAAGAAAAAAAAUUCUCAUAGCUGUCUUAUUAAUUUUUUUUUUCUUUUUUUUUAAACAGAGUUUCACUCUUGUUGCCCAGGCUAAAGUGCAAUGGCGCGAUCUCAGCUCACUGACACCUCUGUGCUCCCAGGUUCAAGUGAUUCUCCUGCCUCAGCCUCCCAAGUAGCUGGGAUUACAGGUUCCUGCCACCACAUCUGACUAAUUUUUUGUAUUUUUAGUAGAGACGGGGUUUCACCAUGUUGGCCAGGCUGGUCUCAAACUCCUGACCUCAGGAGAUCUGCCCACCUCGGCCUCCCAAAGUGUUGGGAUUACAGCCAUGAGCCACCACACCCGGCCCUUAUUAGAUCUUUACAAUGAUAAAUAUCAUUUUGUUUCAAAUUAAUACUCACUUUUGUGACUUUCCAUGACAACUCUGUAUUAUCUUCUUAGCAGAAAGGAGCAUUGCUUUAUUUAUUUCCUAAUAAAGCGUUUACUAUAGUGCCUCCUGUGUUGUGUUUUGUUUUGUUUCAGUGAUUGUUUUGCAUCUCACAUAUAUUAUCUCAUCUAAGUCACAUAGAAGCCUCAAACUUGGACAGAACCAAGAUGAGUAAAGUGGCCUGCAUCGUGUCAUGUAGCUAAGGAUGGACAGAAUUGGCUCUAGGCUCAGGGUUUCUGAUUUCACCUCUACUGAUGUCACAUUUACAGAAUUAUACUAAGGACUUAGAACCGGGAAGGGGUGCACUCGAAGUUGUUCUCUGACAAUGGAAACACCAAUUCCACGCACUCAUCUAGAAAUACUUGUUUGUUGAAAUAAUGGAAUUGGCAUUCUGUUUGUCCUCAUUCUUCUGGUCACCUAAAUAAAUGGUAAUAGAAGAUUAAGUCAUGGCCCAAAAAACUUAGGCCACAUUUCAUUUGCACCCAAACUUUGAGAGAUAAUUUGUUUUCACAUCAAAACUUUUUAUUCUUUUGCUCUGUCACCCAGGCUGGAGUGCAGUGGCACGUUCUCAGCUCACUGCAACCUCCGCCUUCCAGGUUCGAGCGAUCCUCCUGCCUCAGCCUCCCGAGUAGCUGGGACUACAGGCAUGUGCCACCAUGCCUGGUUAAUUUUUUGUAGUUUUAGUAGAGAUGGGGUUUCACUAUGUUGGCCAGAUUGGUCUCAAAUACCUUACCUCGUGAUCCACCUGCCUCAGCCUCUCAAAGUGUUGGGAUUACAGGUGUGAGCCACCGUGCCCAACCACAAUUAUAAUCAUUUUUACAUAUACAGUUCAGUGGAAGUAAGUACACUCAUGUUGUUAGACAACCAUCAUCUGUCUCCAGAAAUUUUAAAAAAUUUUUUAAAUUAUUUAUUUUUUAUUUUAUCAACUUUUAUUUUAAGUUCUGGGAUACGUGUGCAGGAUGUGCAGGUUUGUUACAUAGGUAAAUGUG